rnacentral:rRNA from 1 species
CGCGGUAUGGGAUGGGGUCGCGUCCUAUCAGCUUGACGGCGGGGUAACGGCCCACCGUGGCUUCGACGGGUAGCCGGCCUGAGAGGGCGACCGGCCACAUUGGGACUGAGAUACGGCCCAGACUCCUACGGGAGGCAGCAGUGGGGAAUAUUGCACAAUGGGCGCAAGCCUGAUGCAGCAACGCCGCGUGAGGGAUGGAGGCCUUCGGGUUGUAAACCUCUUUUAUCGGGGAGCAAGCGAGAGUGAGUUUACCCGUUGAAUAAGCACCGGCUAACUACGUGCCAGCAGCCGCGGUAAUACGUAGGGUGCAAGCGUUAUCCGGAAUUAUUGGGCGUAAAGGGCUCGUAGGCGGUUCGUCGCGUCCGGUGUGAAAGUCCAUCGCUUAACGGUGGAUCCGCGCCGGGUACGGGCGGGCUUGAGUGCGGUAGGGGAGACUGGAAUUCCCG